UACAGCACAGGACCCCCAAGCCUCUUCAGGUGCUCCCCAAGCAGCUGGGGAUAGCAAAUGCUGUCCUGCCUUGCCGUAGACCCCAGAGGGCUGGAAGGAGACUCU